CAUUCCUUCCUGCAUUCUUCUUUGCAUCUUGAAGGAUAAAUGGCUGGAGACGCUUCUCACUUCCUUCACCCGUUCUCCCACCAAAGAGGUUUUCUGGACCCUGUAGUCUACAUUGAAGAGCCAGGGGGAAGAUAAGCAAAGGGCAGAAGAACAGUUUCCUUUUUCUCCGUGGAGGUUCCCACUGCUCUAUAUUGGAAAGUUGAUUGAAUCGGGUAAGGGGGAGGGGAGACAUUCCCUUCCUCCCUCCCUCUCUUUCUCUAUUUAUUCAUUUAAUUGGAACUCUUUAGGCACUUACCACAUGCCAGGCAUUAUUUUAGAUACUGUAGCUAAGGUACUUCCUGGAGCUCACAUCAUAGUGGAGGGAGACAGACAACAACUAAACGUACAGCUAAAAUAAUUUCUGAUAGUGAAGAGCCAAAAGUGGAUAAAUCAGGGAAGGAAGACAGAAGGUAACUGUGUGUAUGUGUCCAUGUGUGCCUAUUUGGUGGCUCCUUUAGGAAGGGUGCGGUCACUCUGAGGGGGUGAGAUUGAACGGACAUGGGAGUGAUAGAAAGGAAGGAGCUGGCCAUGUGUGGAGACAUGUGGAGAAAAUGUGUGGAGACAGCUUUUUGGAAAGGGGUACUAACAUAUGCAUGGGUCCCCUCCUGAGCUCCUCACUUCUUUCUUUUUCUUUCCCUUUUCCUCAAAUAGUAACUGAGCUCCCACUAGGAGUCAGGAGCUAGCUGGAACAGACCCAAAGGAUAGGACAGAGUUUUGCUUUGGCAGAUUUCCUGAGUAGGUAACGAGAAAGUGGAGCAAGUCACGAAAAUACAGAUGGUGUGUACAUAGCAGAAGGAAGUAUAAAGUGUUGUUGGGAAGAUAAUGGGAACACAGGGGAGAGUGCAACUACCUGCCAAGUCCCUUUAGACACCUGCCCAGCUGCUGGGGCCCACAGGAGAAGACCAGCCUCUGAAACUCAGAAAUUUCAGUUCCUUUCCAGCAUAUUGGUCUUUACCUUAGAUGCCUUUGAAACAGAGUGGGAAGCUUAUUGGAACAAUCCAGCAAAGCACCCACACCAAACACUAAUGGGGAAGCCCAGCAGAAAAUUGGAAUUGAUUCAGUUUGCUGAAAAAAACGGAAAGGUGGCUUUUAUUUGCAGGACCAGGAUGCUGACAUGAAAAUAUACACAUACAAUGAUCAGAGAAGGACAGAGGGGAAAGGAAGGAAUUGGCAGUCGUCCCUGAAAAUGUGUAAUCCAAGAAUGAAAGUUUUACAGAACAAGGAAAAAAAGCCUUCACACAACACAGGGUCAGAGUGAACUCUUUGGUACUUGUGUAACUGAUUAAGGGUUUAAAGGAAACUGUGUAUUUACUUAAUGGUAUGACUCAUUUAAAUGGAACAAACUUAGGCGAAAAACCACAAUGAUUAGGUUUUCCAUUUAUUGUUGUUGUAGGCUCAUGUAACACUACUGACAUUGGAGUCCAAAAACAUGGAAACCACCGACAGAACCUGCCUAUGUGAGGACAAAAGACAGACAGGUCGUAUCAUUUAAACGGUUUAAGAGGAAAUGCUAACUCAAGCCACUAUGUCAUGCGUGCCUUCAGACUACAGCUGGUGGACAUCGGUCUUUUCCCACCUUCACACCUGGACUCAGAAUGGAACUUACAUCAUCGACUGUCUUGGGUCUCAGGCCCUCAGCCUUGGACUGGAACACAGAUACCAUUGUGUCUCCUGAGUGUCCAGCUCAUUGGCUGUGGAUGCGAAUUCUCAGGCCCCAUAAUCAUGUAAGCCAAUUUGUUAUAGUAAAUCUAUCUACUUCUC